AGAGAUGUCAAAAUGGGUAA
rnacentral:snRNA from 1 species